rnacentral:rRNA from 1 species
GACGAACGCUGGCGGCGUGCUUAACACAUGCAAGUCGAACGGAAAGGCCCUGCUUUUGUGGGGUGCUCGAGUGGCGAACGGGUGAGUAACACGUGAGUAACCUGCCCUUGACUUUGGGAUAACUUCAGGAAACUGGGGCUAAUACCGGAUAGGAGCUCCUGCUGCACGGGGGGGGUUGGAAAGUUUCGGCGGUUGGGGAUGGACUCGCGGCGUAUCAGCUUGUUGGUGGGGUAGUGGCUUACCAAGGCUUUGACGGGUAGCCGGCCUGAGAGGGUGACCGGCCACAUUGGGACUGAGAUAGGGCCCAGACUCCUACGGGAGGCAGCAGUGGGAAAUAUUGCACAAUGGGCGGAAGCCUGAUGCAGCAACGCCGCGUGCGGGAUGACGGCCUUCGGGUUGUAAACCGCUUUCGCCUGUGACGAAGCGUGAGUGACGGUAAUGGGUAAAGAAGCACCGGCUAACUACGUG